rnacentral:rRNA from 1 species
AUUGAACGCUGGCGGCAGGCCUCCCACAUGCAAGUCGAGCGAGCGGCGGACGGGUGGGUAAUGUCUGGGAAACUGCCUGAUGGAGGGGGAUAACUACUGGAAACGGUAGCUAAUACCGCAUACCAUCAGAUGUGCCCAGCUGGGAUUAGCUUGUAGGUGGGGUAACGGCUCACCUAGGCGACGAUCCCUCGCUGGUCUGAGAGGAUGACCAGCCACACGGGAGCUGAGACACGGUCCAGACGCCUACGGGAGGCAGCAGGGGGGAAUAUGGCACAACGGGCGCAAGACUGAUGCAGCCAUGCCGCGUGUGUGAAGAAGGCCUUCGGGUUGGAAAGCACUUUCAGCGGGGAGGCGUUACCCGCAGAAGAAGCACCGGCUAACUCCGUGACAGCAGCCGCGGUAAUAC